CACAGCAAGCAGGGAAGAAACCGAGGGCGAGAAAUGAGGGUGCUGGCAUCAGUGGCUGAGGGCAAACAGCGAUGCCUCACCUCCCCCAGCGGGUUGCUGAGGGAAUUAAUUAGCGUUUGUAAAGCACUUUGAAGAUAAAUGAGACUGUGGGAGAGCUCCUGACCAGGAGAGAGGGGGAGAUGGGGAUCAGGGAGCCUGAUGGCAGAACAGGGCCAGAUGGACAGGGUCCUAAUUCCCAUCAAGAAUCAUUACCUGCUGCAUGCUGGAUGAGGCACCUCCAACGAUGUGCUGUGAGCCCUGGAAAACGUGGCAGCACCAGGAGGAUCCUACUGGAAUGGUGCUCUCCCAGCUGCAGGGCCCUGUCCCAGAUGUGUGAUGGGAACAUCUCCCAUUAAAUAAGGGAGAUGCUCAUUGUUGCGUGGCACCCCUAAUUUGGGGAGGCAGAGCAGGUGCUGGGAGAGGGGGCACCGCACUCUCACACAGCACAGAAAGUCUUUUCCAUAUGCUGCCUGAUCAGUUAUAUCAGUUUCUUAAAAUGCUAUUGCACAGAUAUUUCAGAGGCAUCCUGUAGGACCAUCUGGUAUGUUAUAUAUUGCACAGAGCCCGGCCAAUUCUCAGAUCCUGUAAUUUUAUCUCCUCCAUUUCAUAUGCGGCGCAGGCAUUUUGCAAGGCGACGGGGAAUGGGAAUUUGUGGAGUGACGGAGCACACACAAACCAAAAGGCAAGGCCCAAAACUGAGCGGCACUGGCAGCUCCCAACCAUCCCAGGUGCUGGAGAGGAGUUUUGGGGCUGCACAGGGGUGUUUGGGGUCACCCAGCUCGCCUGCUUUGCCCAGGGCAGAGCGCAGCUCUCUCCAUCCCUCCCUGCCUCCCACAGCAGCGCUGCGGGGUGGAGAGACGCCUCCGGCAUCUCACAGAUGUCCUUUUCCCUGCCUCCCCCAGCUUUUCCAGGCAGCACCGUGGUCCCCACAUUCCCCAUGGAAGCGAUGAGCUGCACUCCAGCACGUGUCCCCUGCGAACCCAACGUCCUCC